UGUGCUAUGAUUGUGCCACUGCAGUCUAGUC
rnacentral:piRNA from 1 species